GACGAACGCUGGCGGCGUGCUUAACACAUGCAAGUCGAGCGGUAAGGCCCUUUCGGGGGUACACGAGCGGCGAACGGGUGAGUAACACGUGGGUGACCUGCCCUUAGCUCUGGGAUAAGCCUGGGAAACUGGGUCUAAUACCGGAUAUGACUCCAUGAUGCAUGUUGUGGGGUGGAAAGCCUUGUGCGGCUAGGGAUGGGCCCGCGGCCUAUCAGCUUGUUGGUGGGGUGAUGGCCACCAAGGCGACGACGGGUAGCCGGCCUGAGAGGGCGACCGGCCACACUGGGACUGAGACACGGCCCAGACUCCUACGGGAGGGCAGCAGUGGGGAAUCUUGCGCAAUGGGCGAAAGCCUGACGCAGCGACGCCGCGUGAGGGAUGACGGCCUC
rnacentral:rRNA from 1 species